CGGUACGUGCAGGGGAACUUCCGCUUGGGGAAGUUGAGAGAGGCAUGCCGCCUGACCCUUUGAACCUGUUUGGGUAACGCCAUCGUAGGGAGCAUUGUUAUGAACCAA
rnacentral:ncRNA from 2 species